rnacentral:lncRNA from 1 species
GUACGCAUGGUUUAUACUAUGCGUACGCAUAAUGUUAAAAAAUAGUUGUUGGCUGAUUUUUCAAUUUGAAACUUGAGAGCCGUUUUGGAUUAAAAGUUGACACUUUUCAUCUUAUUUUGGUACCAUUUCGUAAUGCAUUGAUUGAGACCUAUAAAUAGGUGAUGAAUGAUCAAUACAAACAUUAUUAGAAUCAUUAAAAACAUCUUGAGAUCCAUAUAUCAUUCCAUAUUGAAUUAAACUAUUGAUUUACAUUCAUAUUCAAGAUCUUCAUUUGUGUUCUUAAAGUUUUGGGGGAUUGUACUUGUGCUUUGGUGUUAAAUCCUUUACAAGGCUUGAUAUAAUCCUGCAAACCAUUUGCCAAAACUCUUAAGCAUCUUAUUCAAUCCCGAGAGGGGACAAAUAUAGUUUGAGGACAACAAUCCCGUGUUCAAACCUCAAAUUCGUUCUUGAUGCAUUUCGUAAUUUCUAUUCAUUUUGUUUCUAUAAUUUUGUUGUUGUUUCUUCUCCAACCCUUUGUUCUCCAACAAUCUCAAACUAUAUCCUGCGAUGGAGAAUGAUACAAUUAUGGCAACCAUCAAACCCAUGAAUCAAGAUCUGGUUAGAUUGGAUCGUUUUCACGGGACUAACUUCACGAAGUGGCAAGACAAGUUGAAAUUCCUCCUAACGGCGUUGAAGAUUUUUUAUAUUCUUGAUCCAGAUUUGGCGUCUUUACCGAAACCAACGAAUGGAGAAUUCGAAGCAAACAAGAACGAGAGACAAAAACGCCAAGAAGAUGAAUUGAUUUGUCGUGGCCACAUUUUGAAUGCAUUGUCGGAUAGUUUGUAUAAUUUAUAUACCAAUACAACUUCGGCGAAAGAAAUCUGGGAAACAUUGGAAAGUAAGUACAAG